rfam:Myotis lucifugus cont2.1761, whole genome shotgun sequence.
GGCAGUUCUUGGGUGAUGCACCACAGAAUUGGGCUCCCUCCUCUCUGGUUCUGGGUGCAUCACCCUAGAACCACC